rnacentral:rRNA from 1 species
AGACGUCUACAUUAGAUACCCCGGUAGUCCCAGCCGUAAACUAUGCGCGUUAGGUAUGUCGGUAACCACGUGUUACUGAUGUGCCGAAGAGAAAUCGUGAAACGCACCACCUGGGAAGUACGGUCGCAAGGCUGAAACUUAAAGGAAUUGGCGGGGAGCACCACAACAGGUGGAGCCUGCGGUUUAAUUGGAUUCAACGCCGGACAUCUCACCGGAUAAGACAGCUGAAUGAUUGUCAAUCUGAAGGUUUUACAUGACUAGCUG